rnacentral:rRNA from 1 species
UAGGGAAUCUUGGGCAAUGGGCGCAAGCCUGACCCAGCCAUGCCGCGUGUGUGAAGAAGGCCCUAGGGUUGUAAAGCACUUUCAGUCGCGAAGAAAUGCUUGAGGUUAAUAACCUCGAGCCUUGACGUUAACGACAGAAGAAGAUCCGGCUAACUCCGUGCCAGCAGCCGCGGUAAUACGGAGGGAUCGAACGUUAAUCGGAAUUACUGGGCGUAAAGCGCGCGUAGGCGGUUUGUUAAGUGGGAUGUGAAAUCCCCGGGCUCAACCUGGGAACUGCAUUCCAAACUGGCAGGCUAGAGUAUGGUAGAGGGAGGUAGAAUUUCCUGUGUAGCGGUGAAAUGCGUAGAUAUAGGAAGGAAUACCGAUGGCGAAGGCAGCCUCCUGGACCAAUACUGACGCUGAGGUGCGAAAGCGUGGGGAGCAAACAGGAUUAGAUACCCCUGUAGUCC